UUGGUGAAUGUUGGUGCCGAAGGCCCAUUUUCUAUCCCAAAUCAGAAAGCGCUUAGGGUUUUCUUUUCCUACCGCGUAGAACCGAAGGAGAGGCUUAGGGGCUUCUUCCUCGUUCACGAGAGCUCCAUGGCUCCAGACUAGCGCUGCCGCACAUCUCCUUGGCCGGCCAAAAGUCACCGUCGGUGGUGUCUCCUGCGCCGGAAACGUUGUCGCCGUGAAUGUUUUUUUCUGUCUCUGUGUUUGGGAUUUUGAUAGUUGGAAGAUAAAGUGGAAGUUGGGCGGGAUGAUGACUUUCUGUGAUGCGCGUGAUGGAGGAGGAAACGGUCAAAAAUUUGAUUGCUCGGAGAAGAAGAUUAGUUAUCAGUGAAGAUAACCGUGGAGGCUUAUGAUCGCUGUAGUCAUCUCUGUGCGGUUGGGUUUAGACUCUUGUUUUUGCAGGCUAACGACAUUGGGGAUUUUGGUGGUAUAAGGAAGGGUUGUAUGCAAAAGGGUUCUUUCCUUUUUUACUGUUGGGUUGGUCUAUUCACUUUGUUUAUAUAUAUACAGGAGAACUAGCAACUUGAUGUAAACCAGGAUAAAAGUAAUAGAGCCGUAUAUGGGAAAUCAGUUGAUUAUCAAGGAAAAGAAAACAAAGAAAUGGGCCGAGCAAGUUUCAGGUUAAAGGCGAAUAUGAAGUGUGCUCAAGCGGUGGGCAAUGACAUAGGAAGGAAAAACAAGGUGAAACAUCAUACUCAGACAUGCAAAAUCAAACAUGAAACAACUUUCAACACAUCCAACCAUAUGACGAUGCAAGUGUGCUAGGUGUGAGCAAGGUGCACUUACCUCUUGGAGCUCCCUUAUUGACCAGCCCGAUCCCUCCGAUGGUCUCUUCCUUUCUCUCUGUAGGUGAAUUUCUGAAAUGCUGUCACUCGAUGAUGAUGGAUUCUUGGUUUUUCAGUGUCUUUCCCCUGCCCUCCGUUCUCUCUGGCUUUUUUUUUUCUGCUCUCUCCGAAAAACCAUUUAAAAACACUUUUCAUCUUGAUCCGGGAUCUUACCUUCCAACUCAUUCCGUAAUGCGAAACUUCGUUUCCCUUUUCUUCUUGUUCACUUCCCAAGAGCUCAGACACAUUCUGUGACAUGGGACUUUCCUUUGUGUUUCUGCCGAACUGGAACAGAGGACACCUACCGCUACAGUCCCGAAACACUCCUCUUCCUGCUGUUGAUGCGUGCUCCUCCCUUCGUCUCCGCCUGCUUCUCUUCCUGCUGCCGGUGUCUGGUGUAAUGGGGUGGACCUGCAAUGGAAAAACUCCGACGCUCAAGUCAGAAUGGGUUCUUAGUUUUUAUUCAAUCUGAAUC